rnacentral:rRNA from 1 species
UGGGGAAUCUUCCGCAAUGGACGAAAGUCUGACGGAGCAACGCCGCGUGAGUGAUGACGGUCUUCGGAUUGUAAAGCUCUGUUAAUCGGGACGAAUGGUUUGUGUGCAAAUAGUGCAUAGACAUGACGGUACCGGAAUAGAAAGCCACGGCUAACUACGUGCCAGCAGCCGCGGUAAUACGUAGGUGGCAAGCGUUGUCCGGACUUAUUGGGCGUAAAGCGCGCGCAGGCGGACUAGCCAGUCAGUCUUAAAAGUUCGGGGCUUAACCCCGUGAUGGGAUUGAAACUACUAGUCUAGAGUAUCGGAGAGGAAAGUGGAAUUCCUAGUGUAGCGGUGAAAUGCGUAGAUAUUAGGAAGAACACCAGUGGCGAAGGCGACUUUCUGGACGAACACUGACGCUGAGGCGCGAAAGCCAGGGGAGCGAACGGG